CUAGCCUACCUCCACCACCAGAGUUGCAAGACCUGUGUGUAAGACCGUACCGUGGACUCUCUGGCUCUUAGAUUUCCCCACCUUAUAGGUUCCCCGCUACCUGCGGUCAAAGUUGUAGAGUAAACUGCAAAGCUAACCUCAAAUGUUAGUGCAGCGAGAGUGCAAGUUUCACGUCGACUUAUACAGAAGAAACUAUCAUGAACUUCUAACGAUAGCUUGUAGCCAUAUCUACAAUGCCCAGGUCUUGUGUUGUUUCCAAAUGCAAAACUGGUUAUAAAAGUUUGAAGGUUAAACGCUCGGUUUUCAAAGCACCAUCGAAUGUUGAAUUGUUUGACAAGUGGAAAGCGGUGUUACCGGAGGGAGUUCGUUUAACUGCGACGAAAUUUGUCUGUGAAAGACAUUUCAAAGAAGAAGAUAUCGUUAGAAGAUAUGUUAGAUUCGAUCAGAAUGGUCGAAAAAUUGCGGAUGUUCCCUUCAAGUGUCCUCGAUUGGCGGACCAGGCUGUUCCGUCGAUAUUUACUCCCGAUGACGAGACUGCUCAAUCCUUUUCUUCAGUCACCAAUUACAGCGAAUCGUCAGACUCGAUAGUCGAGAAAAAUGAUUCUCAGACAUUCAAAGCCAUGGAAGCGUCAAAUGUUACUCACGAGGAAGUAAAAUUCGCGGAAGAAAAACCAUUGCCACAAUUUUCACAAACAGAAAUUGAAAAUGUAAGAACAUCACCUGCAUCUAAAUCACAGACUGGAAAUUAUUUAACUGUGUUACUGAAAAAUGAAAUGAGCAUUUGUACGGCUGAAGACUCUGAACUAGUCGCUGUCAAUCAGGCUAAAAUAUCGGAAGAACCAAAAACAUCUGUACAUUUUUUUAAUGCACUUACCUCAAAAAUCAAUCAAGGUGAAGAUAUUUCGAAAGCCAAUGAAAAUGACUUCUCGAUUCCUACAAGUUGGACAGUUAUAAAUCAGCUUUCCCCAAACAAGCAAUGUGUAACAAUCACCCACACACGAUAUAUGAAAAAAAACGGUGUGCAUCACCCGAUCUUUGAUAAAUAUGUCACAAUUGACGUCGAUAAUCGGAUACGAUACUUUAUUUCGGGACGCGUUGUAGAAGCGCAAGAGGCCGGACUGCAAGAAACUUUAUUAAAUAAAUUAGAACUGACCAACAUUUUGAACAAAUUUGGAAACAUCAAUUUGUGUGGAGGUUUAGGAAACGUUGACACGCAAUAUCUUGAACUGAACAACGAAUUCAGAGAUUAUUUCGGUGAUUUGCACAGUGAUAAUUGUUCUCUGAUAUCGAAGAUGAAGCGAUGUCGCAGUUGUAUAAAGCUGCGGAAAAUCGCUUUUCAGAGAAAAUCCAGGUACAAUAAUGAUCAGCCGAUACGACGUAUGCGAAAGGCUAUGAAUCCGAUUGAUCAGAGAUUGUUGCUAGCAUCACAGAAGAAGUUGAAACGUCAAAAACGUAAAUUAAAACGAAUCAUGGUGGAAAGAGAAUUGUUGAAGAAUUCGCUAGCUGAAAAGACCCAGGAGUUGACCAAAAUCAACAACGAACCGUUUGAUGAAAAGUGUUCAAAACUCAACAUCCCAGCUGCUCAAAGAAUAACACUGAAUGAAAUAAUCGCAGCCGCUUCCACAACCAAAUCCAAUGGCCGACGUUAUUCGAACGAAUGGAUAAUGCAGUGUCUUUUGUUGAACAUAAAGUCGCCAUCUUUGUACGAGUAUUUAAGGGUGAAUAACAUUCUACCGUUACCCUGUUCAACAACUAUUCGUCGAUAUUUUUCACUCGCAAACAAGAAGUGCAACUUUGAUCAAAAUUUCACCGAGGUACUGAGGUGUAAAUUUGACAAACUAAAACAGAAAGGACUUAAACUGGACGGUCUGAUUUUGUUAAACGAUCUCGAAACGAAAAAUCCAAUGGAUAUUUCUGCAAAAAGUCCAGCCUAUGUCAGUGUAUCAAAUUUCAGAAACAACGUCCCAAAGUCUCAAAGUGUCAAUGAUCAACCCACGCACGGUUUUGUUCUGAUGUUUCAAUCGUUGACGGACAGACAGACUCAUCCCGUUACAGUUUUCAACGACGAAAAUCCUAUCCGACGUGAACAAAUAUCAAAAUUAAUUAUCGAGGCGAUCGCAUGCCUAGAAAACUGUGGGGCCACAAUUCAUGGCGUUAUCGCUGAUGAUAAAACGAUGAAUAAGAAAAUCUGGUCUUCGUUGGGUGUCGAAGGCUCGAUUAAUGGCAUCAAAACAUGGUUUACACACCCUGUCGAUGAGAGCCGCAAAGUUUUCGCAUUUUCCGAUGCGUUGCACUUGAUAAGAUGCAUAAGAGAUCGACUAUACGAUAAUAAACGACUGCGUUGAUGAAACGAGGACUAGAGUUUGUCCUGAAAUUACACAGAAUCAUGUAAAAUUGGAUAGCAGAUUAAGAAUGUGCGAUUGUCUUGCAACGCAGGUGUUCAGUAAUUCUGUGG
rnacentral:misc_RNA from 1 species